rnacentral:rRNA from 1 species
AUUUAACGCUGGCGGCAGGCCUAACACAUGCAAGUCGAGCGGUAGAGAGGUGCUUGCACCUCUUGAGAGCGGCGGACGGGUGAGUAAUGCCUAGGAAUCUGCCUGGUAGUGGGGGAUAACGCUCGGAAACGGACGCUAAUACCGCAUACGUCCUACGGGAGAAAGCAGGGGACCUUCGGGCCUUGCGCUAUCAGAUGAGCCUAGGUCGGAUUAGCUAGUUGGUGAGGUAAUGGCCCACCAAGGCGACGAUCCGUAACUGGUCUGAGAAGAUGAUCAGUCACCAUGGAACUGAGACACGGUCCAGACUCCAACGGGAGGCAGCAGUGGGGGAUAUUGGACAAUGGGCGAAAGCCUGAGCCAGCCAUGCCGCGUGUGUGAAGAAGGUCUUCGGAUUGUAAAGCGCUUUAAGUUGGGAGGAAGGGUCGUUACCUAGUACGUGACGAUUUUGACGUUACCGACAGAAUAAGCACCGGCUAACUCUGUGCCAGCCGCCGCCGUAAUAC